rnacentral:rRNA from 1 species
CGCCUGUUUAUCAAAAACAUCUCUUUUGGUGAAAAUGAGAAGUAAUNCCUGCCCAAUGAUGAAUUUAAAUGSCCGCGGUAUUUUGNCCGUGCAAAGGUAGCAUAAUCAUUUGUCUUUUAAUUGAGGGCUGGAAUGAAUGGUUUGACGAAAUAAGAACUGUCUUUUAAUUAUUAUAUUGAAUUUAAUUUUUAAGUUAAAAAGCUUAAAUAGUUCAAUAGGACGAGAAGACCCUAUAGAGUUUAAUAGUAUUGUUUGUUAUUUUUAAAGGUAGACUUUAAUAGAAUAUAAAAUAGGAUUAUUUGAUUGGGGUGAUAGUAAAAAAAGGGAAACUUUUAUAUAAUUUUUAACUUAAAUGAAAGGAGUAUAUUAUUUGAUCUUGUAAUAUGGAUUAAUAGAUAAAAUUACCUUAGGGAUAACAGCGUUAUUUUAUUUAAGAGUUCUUAUCGAAAAUAAAGUUUGCGACCUCGAUGUUGGAUUAAGAUUAUUGACUGGUGUAGAAGUUGGUUAAAUAGGUCUGUUCGACCUUUAAAAUCUUACAUGAUCUGAGU